UACGUAGGGUGCGAGCGUUAAUCGGAAUUACUGGGCCUAAAGUGUGCGCAGGCGGCCGAGCAAGUCGAGUGUGAAAGCCCCGAGCUUAACUUGGGAACUGCGCUCGAAACUACUUGGCUGGAGUGUGGCAGAGGAAGGUGGAAUUCCACGUGUAGCGGUGAAAUGCGUAGAGAUGUGGAGGAACACCGAUGGCGAAGGCAGCCUUCUGGGCCAACACUGACGCUCAUGCACGAAAGCGUGGGGAGCAAACAGG
rnacentral:rRNA from 1 species